rnacentral:rRNA from 1 species
UACGUAGGGGGCGAGCGUUGUCCGGAGUUACUGGGCGUAAAGCGCACGCAGGCGGUCUGCUAAGUUUGGAGUGACAGUUGGUGGCUUAACUGCCAAAGUGCUUCGAAAACUGACAGACUUGAGGGCUUCAGAGGGACACGGAAUUCCGGGUGGAGUGGUGAAAUGCGUAGAGAUCCGGAGGAACACCAAAGGCGAAGGCAGUGCCCUGGCCGACGGCUGACGCUCAGGUGCGAAAGCCAGGGGAGCGAACGGG